rnacentral:rRNA from 1 species
UGAGUGCGAGCUGCUACGGCAGCGAAGUUGGUGAUGUCAAGCUUCCAAGAAAAGCCCUAUACCCGUUAAGGCAUUAUGGCCUGUACCCGAAACCGACACAGGUGGGGUGGUAGAGAAUACCGAGGGGCGCGAGAUAACUCUCUCUAAGGAACUCGGCAAAAUGGCCCCGUAACUUCGGGAGAAGGGGUGCCAGCGAGAGCUGGUCGCAGUGAAGAGGCCCAGGCGACUGUUUACCAAAAACACAGGUCUCCGCUAAGUCGCAAGACGAUGUAUGGGGGCUGACGCCUGCCCAGUGCCGGAAGGUUAAGGAAGUUGGUCAGCGUAAGCGAAGCUAGCGACUGAAGCCCCGGUGAACGGCGGCCGUAACGAUAACGGUCCUAAGGUAGCGAAAUUCCUUGUCGGGUAAGUUCCGACCCGCACGAAAGGCGUAACGAUCUGGGCGCUGUCUCGGAGAGAGGCUCGGCGAAAUAGAAUUGUCUGUGAAGAUGCGGACUACGUGCACCCGGACAGAAAGACCCUAUGAAGCUUUACUGUAGCUUGGUAUUGUGCUCGGGCUCGGAAUGCGCAGGAUAGGUGGGAGGCAGUGAACCAUUGCUUGCGGGUGAUGGUGAGCCACUGGUGAGAUACCACUCUUUCCGAGCUAGAGUUCUAACAGCCACCCGUUAUCCGGGGGCUGGACAGUAUCAGGUGGGCAGUUUGACUGGGGCGGUCGCCUCCUAAAAGGUAACGGAGGCGUGCAAAGGUUCCCUCAGGCUGGUUGGAAAUCAGCCGACGAGUGCAAAGGCAGAAGGGAGCUUGACUGUGAGACCUACAAGUCGAACAGGGACGAAAGUCGGCCUUAGUGAUCCGACGGUUCUGCGUGGAAGGGCCGUCGCUCAACGGAUAAAAGUUACUCUAAGGAUAACAGGCUGAUCUCCCCCAAGAGUUCACAUCGACGGGGAGGUUUGGCACCUCGAUGUCGGCUCAUCGCAACCUGGGGCUGAAGUCGGUCCCAAGGGUUGGGCUGUUCGCCCAUUAAAGCGGUACGCGAGCUGGGUUCAGAACGUCGUGAGACAGUUCGGUCCAUAUCCGGUGCACGCGCAGGAAUAUUGAGAGGAUUUCUCCCUAGUACGAGAGGACCGGGAGGAACGCACCUCUGGUGUGCCAGUUAUCGUGCCAACGGUAAACGCUGGGUAGCCAUGUGCGGAGGAGAUAACCGCUGAAAGCAUCUAAGUGGGAAGCCCACCUCAAGAUGAGUAUUCCCAUGGGGUAACCCAGUAAGGUCACGGGAAGAUUACCCGUUGAUAGGCUCUACGUGGAAGCGCAGUAAUGCGUGAAGCGGAGGAGUACUAAUAGACCGAGGGCUUGACAAU